GGAGGGGAGGGGAGGGGGCGGGCGCGGUGCACCCUGGGAUCGGGGCGGACCCGCGCUCUCCGGCCGCCGCGGGCGGGGUCCUGCGGGUCAGCCACCUGCCCGGCUCCGGGCGGGGUCCCUUCCCGCCCGCACCUCGGUCCCGGACAGUCUCACCGCCGGUGCCGCUCGGAUCUCCGUGUCCAGGAUGGAAAGGGAGAGAGGAAAGGACACCCACCGCCCUUCUCUGCCCUGAGCCCACUUAGGGGAGGCGGCUCCGGGCACCCGCCCUUCCUGCCUUUCUGCUCUUGGGAGAAACCCUGGCCAGGAAACCUCUUCCAAACCCUCGGGUUUAGGCCGUGGAGAGUUGCGUUGACUGUAUAAGAAAAACGUCUUCAUGGUUAAGACCCAUGACAAGGCAUUUGGGAGCAGUUCAAACACAUCAUUUUUAUCUCUAAAAAAUGUAAAACAGCACUUCCUGUUCCAUCCUGGGAUCCACCUUGAGAACUGGGGACAAAAGGAACCAUUUAUCCCACUUGGAUUCUGGAACUUAUCCGUGCCAGGAGUACAGGGGAUGAAGAGCAAAGUGGGAAGUGAGAGAUGCCAACAACUUCGCAGUGACAGCAGAGUGAUGCUAUCAGGAUAGCAAGAGGACUCUAGAGUGUCUCCCGCCCACCCCGCAAAGCAGGCAAAGGGUGUGAUGACUUGUUCUGCAUGGCAUGGCAGUCAUCUUACAGCCAACGAGAAAUAGAUGGCUUUUGUUUUUUCAACAAAGCAAAUAUUCCCCCACAUCAGACUGAAAUGCACCUCCCAGAAAUGUGCCUAGAAUUCGUGUACAGAAGAGUGACCUAAAAACGUGACUGAAUUCAUUUCAGCCUGUCAAUCAAAGGUUGGCAUCUUGACCUCAGAAGCCACUCGAUGAGAGCCAGUUCCUAGAGGUCUCCUGAUUCUGAAAAGUCUCCCCUUCCAAGGUUACUUGGAAAAUGAGUUCAAAAGGCUUCCUGUCUACGAUGAUUCCAAAUGAGUGGGGUCAGUUUCCAAGUAUUUGUUUGCCUGAUUGUGUAUGACUAGUUUUCAUACUUGUUUGCUUCCUUUUAACACAAUUUCCUGAAUGCCCACUAAAUGCCAAAUGGCAAAUAUUAUUAUUGCAAGGCCCUGGGGAUACUACAGCGUCCCAAAUGUAUAUUCACAGCUUCCUGAAAUUCCUGAUCUAGUGGAGGAUAAAGACAAGUCUACAGGGAACUAUAAUAUACUGCAAGGAACUGUGUGAUGGGAGACAGACCCCCAUAUGGGCUUGCUUUUUGCUUUCCGAUUCUUCACCCAAUAAGAACCAACAAAUACCUGGAGAAUGCAAAAUCAUAUAACCAACUUAAAUUAAUAUCUUUUAAAUAUUUGUGUAUUAGAAUGUGAAAGCGAACACAACCAAUGAUUAGCUACAACCAAUUUACAAGGUGAAAUUGCUGUUCUAAUUUGUAUAACACAUCCAAGGCCAAUCGUCAAAUAUGUUUAAACUUUCUGCUCCUAGGACGAUCUGCUCAUCGUUCUCUACACAUAUAGAUGGUAUGAAAUUGCCCACACUUCAAAUGUUUUAAAAAUGUCAUUUGAGUGGUGAAAAUUCAAUGAAAACACACUUAGGCAUAGUAAAGAGGGUGAGUCAAGUGUCUUUAAGAGUCCUGCUUUGAGAAAUUGGUUCAGGAUAGAGAUAUGGUUCCAUUCAAAGACAUCUUAACUUGAAAAAUAUGUUCACCUCCCUGACUUAUAAAAAAAAAAAAAAGAAUUAAAAACCACAACCCGAUUUUCAAAAUCAGUCACAACAAAUACUUAUGCUUAAAGAUAUCCCUUAUAAUGUUAUUUAUAAUACAAAAAAAAUUGGAAAGUCCAUUAAUUGGAGAAUGCUUAAGUAACAAUUACAUAGCAAUUAAAGAAAUAUAAAAAGCUUUCACUGACUUGCAAAAGAAAUGCUUCUGAUGCUAGGAAAAGGCAGAGCACAAAAUUUCAUUUCAUUUUAUUUAUUUAGUUAGUUAUGCAAUUUU